rnacentral:rRNA from 1 species
GAAAAGAAACCAACAGGGAUUGCCUUAGUAGCGGCGAGUGAAGCGGCAAAAGCUCAAAUUUGAAAUCUGGCACCUUCGGUGUCCGAGUUGUAAUUUGAAGAUUGUAACCUUGGGGUUGGCUCUUGUCUAUGUUUCUUGGAACAGGACGUCACAGAGGGUGAGAAUCCCGUGCGAUGAGAUGCCCAAUCCUAUGUAAGGUGCUUUCGAAGAGUCGAGUUGUUUGGGAAUGCAGCUCUAAGUGGGUGGUAAAUUCCAUCUAAAGCUAAAUAUUGGCGAGAGACCGAUAGCGAACAAGUACAGUGAUGGAAAGAUGAAAAGAACUUUGAAAAGAGAGUGAAAAAGUACGUGAAAUUGUUGAAAGGGAAGGGUUUGAGAUCAGACUCGAUAUUUUGUGAGCCUUGCCCUUCGUGGCGGGGUGACCCGCA